UGGCUCAGGAUGAACGCUGGCGGCGUGCCUAACACAUGCAAGUCGAACGAAGCACUUCUGAUCGGAGAUUCGUCAAAGAUUGGAUUUGACUUAGUGGCGGACGGGUGAGUAAUGUAUGAGCAACCUGCCUUUCAGAGAGGGACAACAGUUGGAAACGACUGCUAAUACCGCAUAAUGUAUUGAGAGGGCAUCCUUUUGAUACCAAAGGAGCAAUCCGCUGAAAGAUGGGCUCAUAUCUGAUUAGUUAGUUGGCAGGGUAACGGCCUACCAAGACUGCGAUCAGUAGCCGGACUGAGAGGUUGAACGGCCACAUUGGGACUGAGAUACGGCCCAGACUCCUACGGGAGGCAGCAGUGGGGAAUAUUGGGCAAUGGGCGAAAGCCUGACCCAGCAACGCCGCGUGAAGGAAGAAGGUCUUCGGAUUGUAAACUUCUUUUAUGAGGGACGAAGGACGUGACGGUACCUCAUGAAUAAGCCACGGCUAACUACGUGCC
rnacentral:rRNA from 1 species